AUUUGAAAAAUUCAAGUGCCAAUUUUCAUUUAAGAUUUCCGAAAGGUUUAAGUACUGAGGCAGAGUCUCAUGUUUAAAAAUUGGGAUGCUCAAUUUAGAUAAAUUUGUCCACAUGUGAGGAAUUAAGUUAUUAAUAGCUGGAGAAGGAUGGGAACGGGAGUCGCAAGGAUAAAGAGUGCUUAUCAGUACGUCGCCGUUGUCGUCUUGAAGUUCGCAGUUGCAAGGGAUGUGGAGUGAUAGG